GACUGGAACUGGCAUCCAAUACUCUACAAUUUCCGCCAUCUUGGAUUCUUGGUUUUACUUUUUCGACUCAAGUUCUCGCUCCAGUAUGUAUAGAGCUCAUUGAUUUCCGUUUGAUUGGACGAGUCCAGGCCUCUCAGUUUUAAGGAAAUUUCCUUAAACUGAGAAAAUUAUCAGUUUUUAAGGAGACUUUUAAGGAAAUAUAUAAUUUUUAAGGAAUUUUUAGUUUUUAUCUAAUAUUUGAAAAUUGAUUGAAAUAAUAUUUAAAUAUUCAGUCAAUUUAGCUCUAUUUAUGCAAAAAUACUUUUUAAAAACGCAGGAAAUGCAGUCUUAUGCAUUCAGGACUUGCAAAAAUUUUUCGAAGGAAGAUAUUCCUUGACCAACCAUGUGAAAUCCAUGCUGCUCAAAAUCCCAAUUCCCGAAUGAGACAAAAAUUCUGGGAACUUAACUUUGUAAUUCUCAAUCAUUCAGGCCAUAAAUUACCAAAAAACAUGCCUGCCCCACGUUUAAGGAAAUUUUACUAAAUCUGAGGAACUUUUUACCGAGACAAUGGGAAAUUUUUACCAGGCCAUGGGAAAUGAGAGCCGACUGGACGCGUCUGUCGUGGCUAAAUCGUAAUCCCCAAUGUAAAGAAAAAGUCGAUAUGUCAUCUUGCCGUUUUUGGGUGCUGCAUGCCAAUUAGUCCAGUGGCGAGCUAGCCAUGACAAGUGGUCAUGCUAUACUAAUAAACUCGCACCUAAGUAUAGGUUAAAGACAAUAGAUAAAUUUAGCGAACGUUGUUCACAUCGUCGCUAGCCAAUUCACAACUUUAGAUCACUCACAAGUUAACUGGGCAUGUGAGUAAUCUCUAGAAUUGUGAAUUGGGGAACCAAACGUUAGCCAAACUUGUCUGCACAUUUCUAAAGGUUUGAAUUCAAAUGCAAAUCAUUAAAAAUUUGCAUGCAUGACCUGUUGCUAUGGCUAUCUUCUACUGCAUUGAAUCAGUCUAUAUACUGUUUGCCAAGAUAUAUUGGCCACCUUGAAGCAACCAAUUGGGCUUCAGCCUUCAACAUUUAACAUUUUAUCUAAUAUUUAGUAUUUUUAAAAUAAUAUUGCAAUAAUUAUUACAAUCUAUAUAAAACUUUUGACAUAUAAGAGCUUUUAGUUGCACCUGUUUGGUGGAUGUUCAAUUACCUAGACGUCAAAUGUAGUUCACUGAUUUAUUAGCUGUGAU